UACGGAGGGUGCAAGCGUUAAUCGGAAUUACUGGGCGUAAAGCGCACGCAGGCGGUUGGAUAAGUUAGAUGUGAAAGCCCCGGGCUCAACCUGGGAAUUGCAUUUGAUACUGGCGGGCUAGAGUGCGGUAGAGGAGAGUGGAAUUCCCGGUGUAGCAGUGAAAUGCGUAGAGAUCGGGAGGAACAUCAGUUGCGAAGGCGGCUCUCUGGACCAGCACUGACACUGAGGCACGAAAGCGUGGGGAGCAAACAGG
rnacentral:rRNA from 1 species